rnacentral:rRNA from 1 species
GUGCCAGCAGCCGCGGUAAAACGUAGGGGACAAGCGUUAUCCGGAUUUACUGGGCGUAAAGCGCCCGUAGGCGGCUUGAUAAGUUGGACGUGAAAGCUCCCGGCUUAACUGGGAGAGGCCGUUCAAAACUGUCGGGCUCGAGUGAGGAAGAGGAGAGCGGAAUUCCCGGUGUAGUGGUGGAAUGCGUAGAGAUCGGGAGGAACACCAGUGGCGAAAGCGGCUCUCUGGUCCUAAACUGACGCUGAGGGGCGAAAGCGUGGGGAGCGAACGGGAUUAGAUACCCUCGUAGUCC